rnacentral:rRNA from 1 species
UACGUAGGGGGCAAGCGUUGUCCGGAUUUAUUGGGCGUAAAGAGCGUGUAGGCGGUUUGGUAGGUCCGUUGUGAAAACUCGAGGCUCAACCUCGAGACGCCGAUGGAAACCAUCAGACUAGAGUCCGGAAGAGGAGAGUGGAAUUCCUGGUGUAGCGGUGAAAUGCGCAGAUAUCAGGAGGAACACCGGUGGCGAAGGCGGAUCUCUGGGCCGAUACUGACGCUGAGGAGCGAAAGCGUGGGGAGCGAACAGG